GUAGGUUGCUAUAUAUAUUUCUGGACUAGGCAACACUAAGUGUUGCCAGGUGCAAUCUGACAUUUCCAUUGGAAAGUUUGACAUUUUUUAGCAUAACAUCACUCAGAACGUUUUGUCAUUUAAUCGUGAAUUGUUUUAUUUACAGGGAAUUAAAAAAUUCAUCUCGGCCAAAAAAUGGAAUUAACUCGUGAACAUUUUCGUGCGAUCAUUUUUCACAAGUUCCGACGUGGAUUAUCACGACAAGAGUGCAUCGAUGAACUAAAAUCUUUGUAUGGCUAUGAAGCACCAUCCUAUAGCACUGUGAAAAACUGUUACAACGAAUUCAAUCGUGGCCGACGCUCGCUCAAAGACGAAUUCCGUGAAGGUCGUCCAAAAACAGCCGUUGUGCCAGAAAACAUCGAUGCCGUACGUGAACUGAUAAUGCAAGACCGUCAUGUAACAUACCUUCAGAUAGAGGCAUGCCUAUGCAUUUCUCCCACCAGCAUACAUUCGAUAUUGCAUGAACACCUGGCCGUAAAAAGGGUUUGUU